rnacentral:rRNA from 1 species
UACGGGGGGUGCGAGCGUUGUCCGGAAUCACUGGGCGUAAAGGGCGCGUAGGUGGCCUGAUAAGGGUGUGGUGAAAGUCCGGGGCUCAACCCCGGAUCUGCCGUGCCGACUGUUAGGCUAGAGUACUGUAGGGGCAGGCGGAAUUCCGGGUGUAGCGGUGAAAUGCGCAGAUAUCAGGAGGAACACCAAUUGCGAAGGCAGCUCGCUGGAACGUUACUGACGCUGAGACGCGAAAGCGUGGGGAGCGAUCCGG